GGAUGAACGCUAGCGGCAGGCUUAACACAUGCAAGUCGAGGGGUAACAGGAGGUGCUUGCACUUCGCUGACGACCGGCGCACGGGUGCGUAACGCGUAUACAAUUUGCCUUAUACAGGGGGAUAGCCUUUAGAAAUGAAGAUUAAUACCCCAUAGUACAUUAGAAUCGCCUGAUUUUAAUGUUAAAGAUUUAUCGGUAUAAGAUGAGUAUGCGUUCUAUUAGCUAGAUGGUAAGGUAACGGCUUACCAUGGCAACGAUAGAUAGGGGUCCUGAGAGGGAGAUCCCCCACACUGGUACUGAGACACGGACCAGACUCCUACGGGAGGCAGCAGUGAGGAAUAUUGGGCAAUGGAGGCAACUCUGACCCAGCCAUGCCGCGUGAAGGAAGACGGCCCUAUGGGUUGUAAACUUCUUUUAUAGAGGAAGAAACCCUCCCACGUGUGGGAGGCUGACGGUACUCUACGAAUAAGCACCGGCUAACUCCGUGCCAGCAGCCGCGGUAAUACGGAGGGUGCAAGCGUUAUCCGGAAUCAUUGGGUUUAAAGGGUCCGUAGGCGGGCAAUUAAGUCAGAGGUGAAAUCCCACAGCUCAACUGUGGAACUGCCUUUGAUACUGGUUGUCUUGAGUUAUAUUGAAGUGAGUAGAAUAUGUAGUGUAGCGGUGAAAUGCUUAGAUAUUACAUAGAAUACCGAUUGCGAAGGCAGCUCACUAAGUAUAUACUGACGCUGAUGGACGAAAGCGUGGGGAGCGAACAGGAUUAGAUACCCUGGUAGUCCACGCCGUAAACGAUGGAUACUAGUUGUUUGGAUUUAUCUGAGUGACUAAGCGAAAGUGAUA
rnacentral:rRNA from 1 species